rnacentral:rRNA from 1 species
GACGAACGCUGGCGGCGUGCUUAACACAUGCAAGUCGAGCGGUAAGGCCCUUUCGGGGGUACACGAGCGGCGAACGGGUGUGUAACACGUGGGUGACCUGCCCUCAGCUCUGGGAUAAGCCUGGGAAACCGGGUCUAAUACUGGAUAUGACUCCAUGACGCAUGUUGUGGGGUGGAAAGCCUUGUGCGGCUGAGGAUGGGCCCGCGGCCUAUCAGCUUUGUUGGUGGGGUNANGGCCUACCAAGGCGACGACGGGUAGCCGGCCUGAGAGGGCGACCGGCCACACUGGGACUGAGACACGGCCCAGACUCCUACGGGAGGCAGCAGUGGAGAAUCUUGCGCAAUGGGCGAAAGCCUGACGCAGCGACGCCGCGUGAGGGAUGACGGCCUG